rnacentral:rRNA from 1 species
CCUACGGGUGGCUGCAGUGGGGAAUAUUGGACAAUGGGGGGAACCCUGAUCCAGCAAUGCCGCGUGUGUGAAGAAGGCCCUCGGGUUGUAAAGCACUUUCAGUGAGGAAGAACGCCUGGUGGUUAAUACCCAUCAGCAAAGACAUCACUCACAGAAGAAGCACCGGCUAACUCCGUGCCAGCAGCCGCGGUAAUACGGAGGGUGCGAGCGUUAAUCGGAAUUACUGGGCGUAAAGCGCGCGUAGGUGGCUUGAUAAGCCGGUUGUGAAAGCCCCGGGCUUAACCUGGGAACGGCAUCCGGAACUGGCGAGCUAGAGUGUAGGAGAGGAAGGUGGAAUUCCCGGUGUAGCGGUGAAAUGCGUAGAGAUCGGGAGGAAUACCAGUGGCGAAGGCGGCCUUCUGGACCGACACUGACGCUGAGGUGCGAAAGCGUGGGUAGCAAACAGGAUUAGAUACCCGGGUAGUC